CAGCAGCCGCGGUAACACGAAGGGUGCAAGCGUUACUCGGAAUUACUGGGCGUAAAGCGUGCGUAGGUGGUGGUUUAAGUCCGUUGUGAAAGCCCUGGGCUCAACCUGGGAAUUGCAGUGGAUACUGGGUCACUAGAGUGUGGUAGAGGAUAGUGGAAUUUCCGGUGUAGCAGUGAAAUGCGUAGAGAUCGGAAGGAACAUCUGUGGCGAAGGCGACUAUCUGGGCCAACACUGACACUGAGGCACGAAAGCGUGGGGAGCAAACAGGAUUAGAUACCCCAGUAGUCCCUGUCUCUUAUAC
rnacentral:rRNA from 1 species